rnacentral:rRNA from 1 species
GACGAACGCUGGCGGCGUGCUUAACACAUGCAAGUCGAACGGAAAGGCCCUGCUUUUGUGGGGUGCUCGAGUGGCGAACGGGUGAGUAACACGUGAGUAACCUGCCCUUGACUUUGGGAUAACUUCAGGCAACUGGGGCUAAUCCCGGAUAGGAGCUCCUGCUGCAUGGUGGGGGUUGGAAAGUUUCGGCGGUUGGGGAUGGACUCGCGGCUUAUCAGCUUGUUGGUGGGGUAGUGGCUUACCAAGGCUUUGACGGGUAGCCGGCCUGAGAGGGUGACCUGCCACGUUAGGACGGAGAUGCGACCCGGACUCCUACGGUAGGGAACGGUGGAGAGUGGUACACAAGAGACGGAAGCCUAGUGCAGCAACGCCGCGUGCGGGGUGACGUCCUGCGGUUUGUGAUGCACUGUCGCCUGUGACGGAACGUGAAUGACAGUAAUGGGAGAAUAAGCUCCGGCUAACUACGUG